AGAGUUUGAUCCUGGCUCAGGAUGAACGCUAGCUACAGGCUUAACACAUGCAAGUCGAGGGGAAACGACAUCGAAAGCUUGCUUUUGAUGGGCGUCGACCGGCGCACGGGUGAGUAACGCGUAUCCAACCUGCCCACCACUUGGGGAUAACCUUGCGAAAGUAAGACUAAUACCCAAUGAUAUCUCUAGAAGACAUCUGAAAGAGAUUAAAGAUUUAUCGGUGAUGGAUGGGGAUGCGUCUGAUUAGCUUGUUGGCGGGGUAACGGCCACCAAGGCUACGAUCAGUAGGAGUUCUGAGAGGAAGGUCCCCCANAUUGGAACUGAGACACGGUCCAAACUCCUACGGGAGGGA
rnacentral:rRNA from 1 species